UACGUAGGGUGCGAGCGUUAAUCGGAAUUACUGGGCGUAAAGCGUGCGUAGGCGGUCCGCGAAGUCUGAUGUGAAAGCCCCGGGCUCAACCUGGGAACUGCAUUGGAAACCACCUGGCUAGAGUCCGGAAGAGGAGAGUGGAAUUCCCGGUGUAGCGGUGAAAUGCGCAGAUAUCGGGAAGAACACCCGUGGCGAAGGCGGCUCUCUGGGACGGUACUGACGCUGAGACGCGAAAGCGUGGGGAGCAAACAGG
rnacentral:rRNA from 1 species